UCGUUGUUAGUAUAUCGGUUAGUACACGCGCCUGUCAUCUCAUACUUUCGACACAAUGGCCGCGCGAAAGCUGGGUUCCACUCCCAGACAGAGAG